rnacentral:lncRNA from 1 species
UCUAAUCAAACCAGGAUGAAUCGCGAUGUAAGAAGCUUGAUUUUGAAACAUAAAGUAGUGGAGAAUCACCAUGAAUCUGAAUAAAUCUCAUAGGAGUUAGGAUGAAGAAGCUAUCUCACUUUCAAAUCAGGUGAUCCCAGUUUUCCUGUUUGGGAAUAUGACAGCUUCUUUGUCAUUCUAAUCAAACCAGGAUGAAUCGCGAUGUAAGAAGCUUGAUUUUGAUACAUAAAGUAAUGGAGAAUCACUAGUAAGUUGAAUAAAUCUCAUAGGAGUUAGGAUGAAGAAGCUAUCCCACUUUCAAAUCAGGUGAUCCCAGUUUUCCUGUUUGGGAAAAUGACAGCUUCUUAAUCAUUCUAAUCAAACCAGGAUGAAUCGCGAUGUAAGAAGCUUGAUUUUGAUACAUAAAGUAAUGGAUAAUCACUAGGAAGUUGAAUAAAUCUCAUAGGAGUUAGGAUGAAGAAGCUAUCCCACUUUCAAAUCAGGUGAUCACAGUUUUCCUGUUUGGGAAUAUGACAGCUUCUUUGUCAUUCUAAUCAAACCAGGAUGAAUCGCGAUGUAAGAAGCCUGAUUUUGAUACAUAAAGU